ACACACACAACACACCGACAUAUAAUUUAUUUCUGGGUAUCUCAGAAUGUACAUUUUAUGUUAAUGAUAUUUGUGCUUUUGUGUAAAA